CUCUUUGGGUCCAUGAUUUUAUUCAGAAGGUAAACUCCCUGUGCCUCUGGAGCCCCUUUCCCCAUUCUUCAGGGUUAGAAUGGCCAAGAACCUACAAGCUGGGUACUCCCUGGGUAAUAUCUUUUGGCAAGCCAGCCAGGAGACAUUGAACUACAGAGCGAAAAAGGUCUCUUCAUGGCUGUCCAACAAAUAGUCAGAGGAUCUGAAAUAUGCCAGAAAAACAAUCCUUGGACACAUCGCAGAGUUCCUCUUGGGGAAGAGCUAACCGGUCAUUACCCAGAAUUGAGGCCACGAGGCUACAAAUGGUCCUGCAAAUGGAACCCCGGAUGUCCUUGGAUCACGGACCUCUGGAUUGACCUGCACCCCUGGAAGACUGCCUCUGGAGGAAACCUCAACUGCAGGGCCGCUUCUACGCCCCAGUUCAGCAGGAAGUAGUUAAUGAGUGAUCAACGCCCAUGUCCCAACAGCAAUUGGACUUUCCAGUUCAGAAGGGGAACUGAGGGACUGGGUUAAAGAAACUUCUCUUCCUGGGUCCGCUAGGGGAGGGGUUUCAAAUGCAGGAAUUUCCCAGCUCCUCACCUCAGGCAGCUGGGGCUCUUUGAGCACCUCCUCCACGUGGACCAGGUAAAAUUCUUUGUCUGAUCGUCCCGCUGCAGGAAAGCCAGGUGGGACUCUUUUGUCCCAAAUUCCGCAAAAAGCUCUUGGAGAAGGGGGCUCUGUAACUCGGGGUUGUAGACCAAGUAGCCAAUCUGGUAUCAGAGUCAAAGGUCAAUCACUCCAGAGGAAUUUUGAAAGAACUCCUCUCAUUGGACAAGAACAUGAAUUGGGAGGGAAUAACUCAAGGGUUAAAACUUCAGCUUCUCCUACCUGAAGGGAUAUCCCUCUCUGGGUUCUCUUUCCAUAACAGUGUGGGAGCUGUCUCUCUCUCUCUCUCUCUCUCUCUCUCUCUCUCUCUCUCUCUCUCUCUCUGUCUAAUAAAUCACUCUUCCACGAAACUCUUUGGGUCCACAAUUUUAUUUGGAUGGUAAACUCACUGCACCUCCAGGGCCCCUUUCCUCAUUCUUCAGGGUUAGAGAGGUCAAGAACCUACAAGCUGGGUACUCCCCCAGUAACAAUAUGGUUCUUUCUACAGAAAAUCCCAAGGAAUCUCAAAACAAACAAACAAAACCCUCUUGAAAUUGAUAAGCAGUUAUAGAAAGAUUGUAGGAUACCAAAGUCAAUUGCUUUCAGUUCUAUCUCUACAAUUUCCUAUAAAUAUAUAUAGUUACUUCAAAACAAAACCAAAAAAAUCUUAAAUGGAAAAAUGAAGUACUCCCAUAAACCACAAAUAUCUGUAAUCUUGCUUGGGUUUGAUAAAUAAGUGGUGAUAACUUACAAAAUGACAACAAGAAUUGCUGUUCUCUUUGGGAUAUAUCAAUGGGAGGUAAGCCAAGGGAUCCACAAAAACACCUGGAAAUGAAAUAAUUUAUUUGAAUAUUAACUUAUGCUGAAUCAUACACACACAUACACACAUGCAUACUCAACUGUAACCUCACCUUUUAAAUAAAAUUAGUAUUAACAUUUUGUUAUA